AUUGAACGCUGGCGGCAGGCCUAACACAUGCAAGUCGAGCGAGCGGCGGACGGGUGAGUAAUGUAUGGGGAUCUGCCCGAUAGAGGGGGAUAACUACGGGAAACUGUAGCUAAUACCGCGUACCAUCAGAUGAACCCAUAUGGGAUUAGCUUGUAGGUGAGGUAACGGCUCACCUAGGCGACGAUCCCUAGCUGGUCUGAGAGGAUGAUCAGCCACACUGGGCCGUAGACACGGCCCAGACUCCAACGGAGGGCAGCAGUGGGGAGUAUUGCACAAGGGGCGAAAGCCUGAUGCAGCAAUGCGGCGUGUAUGAAGAGGGCCUUCGAGUUGUAAAGUACUUUCAGUCGGAAGGCGUUACCGACAGAGGAAGCACCGGCGAACUCCGUGCCAGCAGCCGCGGUAAUAC
rnacentral:rRNA from 1 species